UGUGAUGCUGGAGGGUGGAAGGUGGGGAUGACCCCUGCAAGCAUUGCUUUCUGCCCGAGCACACCGGGUGCCAUGCCUCAGAUUUCCUUUUUGUUCGCCUAAGGAGCGGAGCAUCUCCCGAUGAAGGUCACAGCUUUGAUCCCCACGGCUCGCUCUCGUGUUUAUGGAUGGCCAUUAUUAGUAACAGAGGCCAGUGCCUGCACUUCUCCGCGCCUGCCCUUGGCUGUCUGCAAGGGAGAAGGGGCAGGAUAACAAAAGAAAGUAUAAAUAGAGCCUUUUUUAAAGCCCGUUAAAUAGAAAUAGACUUUUAGGGAGGAGGGAGAGAGAAUGAGGCGUGUUACCAUAGUAACUACCAAUGGUUUAUUUAAAAAGGGCAAAGAAACAAACACCACAAAAAGGCGAAGCCGAGAGGAGCUGGAGAUUUGCAGGAGGAAUCUGUCGGGGCGCAGACACCGAGGGGCCAGGUCAGGUUGUUGCAGCAGGCAAGAGUGUUCAGGCUUCCUCACUCAUUCCUCCAUGCUCCGAGACUUUAAAAAAAGGUCAAAAUAGGCUUUAAUCAUAGGAUUGGUGACAUUUGGUGGUGGAAGAGACCAUCUGCAGCAGAAAUGGAGGUCAGAGCCAUGCGGUCACCCCAUCCUUCUGGAUCUGCUUUUUCCACCUGCGGAGGAGGCUGCAUCCUGCUUGAAGACUGCCUUGUGCUAAAUUCUGCCUAUUCACGGGACAGGAAGAUGCUUUCUGCCCCAGAGAGCUCAUAGCACAAGAAAAGAAACAGCAGAUGGAAAAGCAGGUGUGAUGGUGCCCAGCAGCACCAUGAUGGGACCCUUCUACUCUCAACACUAAAGGCUUGAAGACCAGAAGCAACUCGAAAGUCCCCGCAUUUGGUUUGUCUUUUGCUGUUUUGUUUUGAAUCUUGUAGUUUCUAAAUCAGUGUGAGGAUUUCCCAGUGCCUGACUCAUGACUUUGAAAACCUCAGGGCUGGUACUACUGAAAGGGUUCAGAUGGCAGAGAAGCCACAAAGAGAGAACGAGCUGCCCUGUGAGGCGAGCUCACAAUUGCGAAAAAAAUGCUACUUUCUUCAAAAAAACCACACCAGCAGCUUUAUCAGGGAAAGGGAAACAAUUGCAAAGAGCCUCCAGCCUCUCUGCAGAUACCACAGGCUUUCCCAUUUACUUGGCUCUGGGACACAACUUAAAACAAUACCAUCUGUAUUCAUAUAACCGGGAGGGAGAUUGUCACACCGAGAGGGUUACAGAUCUUUAAAAUCCCUGGAGUACAAACUGAAAGCCCCAUUUGUCCCUAGAGCAAUCCAAAAAAAAUGUUUGGUUUCCUUCUCCGACACCUCUCUGCUCGAUGUGUGCAGUGCGGCGGUGGUGUGACAGCUCCCGCUGGUCCCCGGGAUGAAGCUGGAUGCACAGCCUGAAAGGCUGAUGGCUCUUUGAGCCCAUUAGCACAGGCAUGUUGGCCAGGGGAUGGGAAUGAUUGCAUCCAGAAAGGGCCCUAGGUUACCCCACUCAGGCCGAUUUUUUGUGCAAAACCAGACCUGCGUGUGGUGUGUUUAUUUUUAGCUUUUGAACCAAAUUCUCUCCUUUUUCUCCCCCAGAGCAAGAGGCGAAUCAGAACCCGACAGCUCCCGCUGUCUCCGUUUCCCUGACCCUAUGGAGAGUUAUCCCAUGUGCCCACCCAGGCAUGAGAAAUUCAGGGUGAGCAUUUUCGGAAGGUUUCACACACUCUUUGAUGUCUCCUAGCCUGGGAAAUUGGUUCCCCUCCUGCUUCCCAGCAUGGAAGGUCUCCCUGUGGUAUCUGCAAGAGAUAACGCUCCCUUUCACUGUCUGAGCUCUGGGCCAGCCUGACUGUUUGCCUCUCCUCUCCGGGGCUGCAGAAGGGACAUAUCCCUCCAGAUAUUGCAGAAGGGCCCUUUCAGAGAGGCUGCUCUGCCUGCAGAGCCGGGCAGUCCGAGCUGCUCCUCUCCAUUCUCACAGAGAUUGAGUUAUGCCAGGCUUUGACCUAAGUGAAACUGCUGACGGUCACAGGGAUUUGACUAAUCUCCUUAGUUUGCUGUGAAAUUUGCUAUUCCUUUUAGGGAAUAGAUUUUUAUUUUUUUAUGACUUUUUUUUUUUUUCCCUUCGGGCUAACUCGCAAUGUAAAAAUAAACUGAAGCCCACGGUGGGAGAUUAAUUUCCUCCCGAACUCAGGAAGGGCAGGCAGUCAAUGCAAGAUCCUCCUGGCCCAUCCCAGGAGGAUGCUGCUCCUGGAUUCAUUCCUGGAGACAGCUGCUGUCCGACCUUGCUGUAAGACUUCCUUCCCCAGUGCUCUCCUCCUGGCCCUGCUGUAGCCCCCUGGGGUCUGAGUGCAGCCCGUGGGCACAGCCCAAGCCUUUUCCUUCCCUUCUUGCUCUGCAGUGCCUCAGAUUCCUCUGCAAGCAUCACUUCUGGGGGUGGGAAGCUGAAAUGAUGAGGUUCUCAUUUCUACUCCUCUAUGAUCUAUCCUGUAACGAAGAGGGAAACCUCAUCUCCCCAGGGAUCCAACCUCCAGGGACUGAUGAAUGAUUUACCUCCGUCCAUGUGGCUCAUGGUGCUGUAGGAUCCUCCCAGGGGAACUGGGUGCUUUGGUGGGGGGUGGGGGGGUGGGAGAACCCACUUCUGUGGGUCUCCCCAUCACUCCAGCUGCCCUCUGGAGCACAGGAGGAUUUGCACCAUAUUUGUGAUACAUCUUUUAGUUAACCAGCAUUACCCUGUCUUUUCUGGCUCUCCAAUCCUUCCCGUCCCAAAUGACAUUUCAGGGCAGAUUCCUUAUGUAUUAUAAACUCCUCAAACACCCCCGAAACCAGCAGUGCAUUGUGCCUUUGCACCUGAAAUUCUGCAGGAACAGCAGAGCACCUUCCACAUGGAGCUUUGCACGUGGGUCUUUGUGACAAAGAAGCCUCUGUAGGCUCCUUGGUGCCUAUAGUUGCUGCACAAUGCUGGCAUUGCUCAAAUAAUAAAGGACGGGCUGCUCACACAAA